GACACUGUAGCUGAAUGGUUAAAGCAGUUGACUAGAAGUCAAUUCCACUAUAAGGGUGCAUGUUCAAGUCAUGCCAGUGUCU